AUGAUUGGUGGAUAUAGCAUCUCACUAGAUCUUCAAAAAUAUUUCAGAGUAAAUUCAGUAAUCUCAUUCAGUAAUCAUCAUGCAAAUCAGAAAACUAAUAGUUAUGUAAUCAUAUAUGAAAUUGGUUUUCUGAUUUUUAUUAUAUCAGUUGCAGGAGCUGACCUAGAAAAAUGCACCUUUACCAAGCAGAUUUCUAAGUGCAUAAGGCCAAGGGUCAUGCCCCCUGUGGAGGUCCUCCUGGAAGUACCAAGCUGGGAACUAAGCUCCAAACAAAAGUACCUUUGGGAGCCAGUCCAGAUCAGAACACCGCAAAAGCUACUAGAGCUGCAUACUAAACAAUGGGACACAACACUGUUUCCUUUGUGAAUCCAGAGUUUCACUACCCAACAACAGUUUCUUCAAGAAAAAUGCAAAUCUCCCAAUUGCAGUAAACAGGACAACUUCUGCUUGUGUCAAGGUUGUUAUCCAAAUAUUUCUAAGAAAAGAGUUUAUUUCUAGAAAUGACACUGCUGGAAUUCUGUACCUAAGCAACAUAAAUUCAGUGAAUAUGAAGGUAAUAUAUGCUUCAUGCCCAUCCCUUUUCUUGAAAAAUAGCCAUCUCACCACCUCUGUUAAAUAAGAACUGCGUGUUUUAGGUUCUAGGGCACUUAUCAGUGUAAAAAGCAUUUGAUUUAUUUGUCACAUACUGUAUUUAUUGUACACGGGCUUUUUUCCUUUUGGACAAAGAUCUAGAGCUAUUUUUCCUCCCUGGAUACUACAGAGGGGAAAAGCCCUUGUUGCUGGCCCAAGUGUUCUCCCUGUAACCAAAAGUCAAUAUGCCCAAGAGAAUCAGAUCACUAUUUACUAAUGUAUAGCUUUCUGUUUUAGAUUUUAUUUUUACAGUCUGUACUACAAGAAAUUUUAAUAUAUGCCUUACACAUGACAACCCUCACACAGUUUGCAGUCCCUCAGCUCUUUUUCACUUGAAACCGAUUUCAUUAUCUUCCGUUCUCAAUGAGAGAGAGAGAGGGAGAGAGAGAGAGCUAUUCCAAGAAAAUUUACUGCCCAAAUUCCUUUGGGCAAAACAUUAAGACUUUACCUGUUACUCUUUUCUCUGUGUAUUGUAUGUACUAUAUUUGUAUUAACUUACUGGGACUGUUUGUGACACUUUGCAUGGAGUGUCCAGCCAGGAAGCUGAGAGCAGGGCAGCUGACUAGGGAGACUCCAUGGGGGCAGAGGAAAGGCCUCUGGAAGCUUCCAAACCUAUUUGGUAUGGAUACAUUUCUCUACGUCAGUUCCUGAGUUUGAUACAUAAAGUCGGAAAGCCACUUUAAUAACUCACAGUGUAGCUGUCACGAGGCUCGUGGCAUACACUGAGCAUGAUGAGACAUUCUCUGCCUCCAGGGAAGAUAAUUAUAAUGAGAAGGUUCUUAGCAAGCAUGGGAUCAGAACAAAGAGCUGGUUGCGUAGAUUUACCAAUGCACUCUUCUCUUCUGUGGCUUGGAAUGUUGGAAGUCCUCUGGCUUUGAGACCAACCUGCCUUCCUCCCCUAAAUAGGGCUUGGAUGAGCAGGGCCAACAUCUGAUUGUCUCUCUCUCCUUUUUCUAUCACCAAUAGUCACAUGUUUACCGCUCACCCUGCCAAACUUUCCAACAGACACAUUCUCCCUUUAUGGAAAUUAAGACAACUCUGCGGGUCAUGGUCAAGUCUUGUUGACCUGGCUGUGUUUUUAUGAGGGCUUCAUAUCUCUGCUCUCAUCCAUUAUUUCUGAGUUAAUAGAGAUCUUGGAGAAAGGAAGGUAUUUUACUGCCUCCCCUGCAUUUCUGAAAUGGAAGCACAUUUCCAAAGAAAAGCUCCUGACUCACUUUCUGCAUUAUGGGAAUCACCUAUUUGAUUCUGUUGAUCUUUCUAACAGAUAAAUAGCAUUACUUCCAUUUCAUUCAAUAAUGAAUAAUGGUCUUUUUCCUGAAGCAUAUUAAAUAUAUGUCUAGUCAUCAUUUAAAUCUUUCUUCCUCUGCUUUGCCUAUUUGAGCAUUUUCCCUAUUCAUCUUCGCUAACAGUUUCUCCGGAAACACCACACAAGCUCACCCUACCUGGGACUCUGGCCAGGUGUCUGAGGGGAGAAAAGUUAUGAAUUUUGUGACGGCACUGAGGAAUCAGUUUCAACCUAACAUUUUAGAGCAAUUGAAGGGCAGAGUUUGAAACUGAUGUCAUAAAAGGUUAUUACAUCAACAUAUUGUUAUUUUACUAUAUUACAGAUCAAUUUAUAAUUAUUCACUUAUUUUACCUACAUGUGCUAGGCUGUAUAUAGACCAAGAUAGGCAAUCUUCAAAAUCAGGCACGUACUCUUUCUGUU
ensembl:lincRNA